rnacentral:lncRNA from 1 species
UGUUAAAAGCUGGAAAGUAAUUUCUCAUAAACCAACAAAUCUGAUUACAAUAAAAAAAAAAUAUUGGCCAUAUUAGAAACACCCCUCAUGCUAACAGCAUAUGGCUGUGCAGUUGGAGAACAUUUAAUAUCCUUUUAGGAGUUAUUUGCACAUUUAAUAGCUACUUAUGCUUAAUUAUUAAACUUUAAAAUCUCCAAAUUAAAAAUACCCUCUGAUCUGAAGAUCUUUCUUUUGCCAGCUUGAGACUUAAAAAAAAAACCUAAACGCUGGUGUCAAUUUCUGAAGAUCAACUGAAAUUUGGAGAUGACAGCAGUUUUUAAGGAGUUCAUUAGACUUCUAAUUAUUGACUGACUUCCUUUCUAUGUCAGGAAGAAGGUUUGUGCUGUUUUGAACAGAUUAAAGAUUUGUGUAGUUUCUGGUGAUCAUUUUGGGGGGUUUAAAUUCCAUCCUGCCGCUCAUCCUAUUGGUAUUUGGUCUUGGCCAGGUCAUUCCAGCCAUCACAGUUGGUUUUUCAGUGGCAGUUGCUUGGUGACUGUGCUCUUUUGAUGUGCCCUGGGUUACUCCCGUUCAGGUUCUGUACUUGUGUCCGUUAAGCAUCAUUGUUUUAUUAACAGGAGGAAUGCUAUUAACAGUAGCAUGACAUACAAU